CCUACGGGAGGCAGCAGUGAGGAAUAGUGGACAAUGGCCGGAAGGCUGAACCAGCCAAGUCGCGUGAAGGAAGAAGGAGCUAUGGUAUGUAAACUUCGAUUAUAGGGGAAUAAAGGUAGCCACGUGAGGAGAUUUGCAUGUACCCUAUGAAUAAGCAUCGGCGAACUCCGUGCCAGCAGCCGCGGUAAUACGGAGGAUGCGAGCGUUAUCCGGAUUUAUUGGGUUUAAAGGGUGCGUAGGUUGUUUUUUAAGUCAGCGGUGAAAGUUUGUGGCUCAACCAUAAAAUUGCCGUUGAAACUGGCAGCCUUGCUUGUGUUUGAGGUAGGCGGCAUUCGUUGUGUAGCGG
rnacentral:rRNA from 1 species